rnacentral:rRNA from 1 species
ACUCUAAGCGGUGGAUCACUCGGCUCAUGGGUCGAUGAAGAACGCAGCAAACUGUGCGUCAUCGUGUGAACUGCAGGACACAUGAACAUCGACAUUUUGAACGCAUAUCGCAGUCCAUGCUGUUAUGUACUUUAAUUAAUUUUAUAGUGCUGCUUGGACUACAUAUGGUUGAGGGUUGUAAGACUAUGCUAAUUAAGUUGCUUAUAAAUUUUUAUAAGCAUAUGGUAUAUUAUUGGAUAAAUAUAAUAAUUUUUAUUCAUAAUAUUAAAAAAUAAAUGAAAAACAUUAUCUCACAUUUGAAUGUGAAAAACGAAGAGAAAUAUUUUCUUUUUCAAUCAAAUAAUACUGAGAAAUGUCUAGCAUAAAAAAUUGAAAUAUUUUUCAUCUAGAAUUGUCUCUUAUUAAUGAUUCGGAAAUAGAAAAAUCUUGGUUAUGUUAUUAUUCUUCGUUGGUUCGUUAAAAAUGGAUAAAUAAAAACUUUGCAUACAAGAAUUAAUAAAAAUGUUAUAACGAAUUUAAUUAAAUGUUUUAUCAUUAUAUAUAAAGAAUUUAUGGCAAGAUAAAGUUAUAUACAACCUCAACUCAUAUGGGACUACCCCUGAAUUUAAGCAUAUUAAUUAGGGGAGGAAAAGAAACUAACAAGGAUUUUCUUAGUAGCGGCGAGCGAAAAGAAAACAGUUCAGCACUAAGUCACUUUGUCUAUAUGGCAAAUGUGAGAUGCAGUGUAUGGAGCGUCAAUAUUCUAGUAUGAGAAAUUAACGAUUUAAGUCCUUCUUAAAUGAGGCCAUUUACCCAUAGAGGGUGCCAGGCCCGUAUAACGUUAAUGAUUACUAGAUGAUGUUUCCAAAGAGUCGUGUUGCUUGAUAGUGCAGCACUAAGUGGGUGGUAAACUCCAUCUAAAACUAAAUAUAACCAUGAGACCGAUAGUAAACAAGUACCGUGAGGGAAAGUUGAAAAGAACUCUGAAUAGAGAGUUAAACAGUACGUGAAACUGCUUAGAGGUUAAGCCCGAUGAACCUGAAUAUCCGUUAUGGAAAAUUCAUCAUUAAAAUUGUAAUAUUUAAAUAAUAUUAUGAGAAUAGUGUGCAUUUUUUCCAUAUAAGGACAUUGUAAUCUAUUAGCAUAUACCAAAUUUAUCAUAAAAUAUAACUUAUAGUUUAUUCCAAUUAAAUUGCUUGCAUUUUAACACAGAAUAAAUGUUAUUAAUUUGAUAAAGUGCUGAUAGAUUUAUAUGAUUACAGUGCGUUAAUUUUUCGGAAUUAUAUAAUGGCAUAAUUAUCAUUGAUUUUUGUGUUUAUUAUAUGCACUUGUAUGAUUAACAAUGCGAAAGAUUCAGGAUACCUUCGGGACCCGUCUUGAAACACGGACCAAGGAGUCUAACAUAUGUGCAAGUUAUUGGGAUAUAAACCUAAUAGCGUAAUUAACUUGACUAAUAAUGGGAUUAGUUUUUUAGCUAUUUAUAGCUAAUUAACACAAUCCCGGGGCGUUCUAUAUAGUUAUGUAUAAUGUAUAUUUAUAUUAUUUAUGCCUCUAACUGGAACGUACCUUGAGCAUAUAUGCUGUGACCCGAAAGAUGGUGAACUAUACUUGAUCAGGUUGAAGUCAGGGGAAACCCUGAUGGAAGACCGAAACAGUUCUGACGUGCAAAUCGAUUGUCAGAAUUGAGUAUAGGGGCGAAAGACCAAUCGAACCAUCUAGUAGCUGGUUCCUUCCGAAGUUUCCCUCAGGAUAGCUGGUGCAUUUUAAUAUUAUAUAAAAUAAUCUUAUCUGGUAAAGCGAAUGAUUAGAGGCCUUAGGGUCGAAACGAUCUUAACCUAUUCUCAAACUUUAAAUGGGUAAGAACCUUAACUUUCUUGAUAUGAAGUUCAAGGUUAUGAUAUAAUGUGCCCAGUGGGCCACUUUUGGUAAGCAGAACUGGCGCUGUGGGAUGAACCAAACGUAAUGUUACGGUGCCCAAAUUAACAACUCAUGCAGAUACCAUGAAAGGCGUUGGUUGCUUAAAACAGCAGGACGGUGAUCAUGGAAGUCGAAAUCCGCUAAGGAGUGUGUAACAACUCACCUGCCGAAGCAACUAGCCCUUAAAAUGGAUGGCGCUUAAGUUGUAUACCUAUACAUUACCGCUAAAGUAGAUGAUUUAUAUUACUUGUGAUAUAAAUUUUGAAACUUUAGUGAGUAGGAAGGUACAAUGGUAUGCGUAGAAGUGUUUGGCGUAAGCCUGCAUGGAGCUGCCAUUGGUACAGAUCUUGGUGGUAGUAGCAAAUAAUCGAAUGAGACCUUGGAGGACUGAAGUGGAGAAGGGUUUCGUGUGAACAGUGGUUGAUCACGAGUUAGUCGGUCCUAAGUUCAAGGCGAAAGCCGAAAAUUUUCAAGUAAAACAAAAAUGCCUAACUAUAUAAACAAAGCGAAUUAUAAUACACUUGAAUAAUUUUGAACGAAAGGGAAUACGGUUCCAAUUCCGUAACCUGUUGAGUAUCCGUUUGUUAUUAAAUAUGGGCCUCGUGCUCAUCCUGGCAACAGGAACGACCAUAAAGAAGCCGUCGAGAGAUAUCGGAAGAGUUUUCUUUUCUGUUUUAUAGCCGUACUACCAUGGAAGUCUUUCGCAGAGAGAUAUGGUAGAUGGGCUAGAAGAGCAUGACAUAUACUGUUGUGUCGAUAUUUUCUCCUCGGACCUUGAAAAUUUAUGGUGGGGACACGCAAACUUCUCAACAGGCCGUACCAAUAUCCGCAGCUGGUCUCCAAGGUGAAGAGUCUCUAGUCGAUAGAAUAAUGUAGGUAAGGGAAGUCGGCAAAUUAGAUCCGUAACUUCGGGAUAAGGAUUGGCUCUGAAGAUUGAGAUAGUCGGGCUUGAUUGGGAAACAAUAACAUGGUUUAUGUGCUCGUUCUGGGUAAAUAGAGUUUCUAGCAUUUAUGUUAGUUACUUGUUCCCCGGAUAGUUUAGUUACGUAGCCAAUUGUGGAACUUUCUUGCUAAAAUUUUUAAGAAUACUAUUUGGGUUAAACCAAUUAGUUCUUAUUAAUUAUAACGAUUAUCAAUUAACAAUCAAUUCAGAACUGGCACGGACUUGGGGAAUCCGACUGUCUAAUUAAAACAAAGCAUUGUGAUGGCCCUAGCGGGUGUUGACACAAUGUGAUUUCUGCCCAGUGCUCUGAAUGUCAAAGUGAAGAAAUUCAAGUAAGCGCGGGUCAACGGCGGGAGUAACUAUGACUCUCUUAAGGUAGCCAAAUGCCUCGUCAUCUAAUUAGUGACGCGCAUGAAUGGAUUAACGAGAUUCCUACUGUCCCUAUCUACUAUCUAGCGAAACCACAGCCAAGGGAACGGGCUUGGAAUAAUUAGCGGGGAAAGAAGACCCUUUUGAGCUUGACUCUAAUCUGGCAGUGUAAGGAGACAUAAGAGGUGUAGAAUAAGUGGGAGAUAUUAGACCUCGGUUUGGUAUCGUCAAUGAAAUACCACUACUCUUAUUGUUUCCUUACUUACUUGAUUAAAUGGAACGUGUAUCAUUUCCUAGCCAUUAUACGGAUAUAUUUAUUAUAUCUUAUGGUAUUGGGUUUUGAUGCAAGCUUCUUGAUCAAAGUAUCACGAGUUUGUUAUAUAAUCGCAAACAAAUUCUUUAAUAAAACGAUGCAUUUAUGUAUUUUUGAUUUGAAAAUUUGGUAUAACUCCAAUUACUCAGGUAUGAUCCAAUUCAAGGACAUUGCCAGGUAGGGAGUUUGACUGGGGCGGUACAUCUCUCAAAUAAUAACGGAGGUGUCCCAAGGCCAGCUCAGUGCGGACAGAAACCACACAUAGAGCAAAAGGGCAAAUCUGACUUGA